rnacentral:rRNA from 1 species
AGAGUUUGAUCCUGGCUCAGAAUGAACGUUGGCGGCGUGGAUUAGGCAUGCAAGUCGAGCGAGAAUUUGUGAUUGGAGGCUUCGGCUGAAGAGAUCAGAGGAAAGCGGCAAACGGCGUAGUAAUGCGUAGGUACAUACCCUCGGGUCGGGAAUAGCCAUGGGAAACUGUGGGUAAUGCCCGAUAAUCUCUGCGGAGCAAAGGUGUGAUUCCGCCUAAGGAGUGGCUUACGUGAUAUUAGCUUGUUGGUGGGGUAAUGGCCUACCAAGGCGAUGAUGUCUAGGGGGUGUGAGAGCAUGGCCCCCACGACCGGAACUGAGACACUGUCCGGACACCUACGGGUGGCUGCAGUCGAGAAUCUUCCGCAAUGGACGAAAGUCUGACGGAGCGACGCCGCGUGCGGGAUGAAGGCCCUUGGGUUGUAAACCGCUGUCAGAGGGGAUGAAAUCAUGGUUGGCUAUCCUUCCAUGUUGACAGAGCCUCAGAGGAAGCACGGGCUAAGUACGUGCCAGCAGCCGCGGUAACACGUACUGUGCGAACGUUAUUCGGAAUCACUGGGCUUAAAGGGUGCGUAGGCGGUUUAUCAAGUCAGAUGUGAAAUGCCAGAGCUCAACUGUGGCACUGCGUUUGAAACUGAUAGGCUAGAGUAUUCCAGGGGUGUGCGGAACUUAUGGUGGAGCGGUGAAAUGCGUUGAUAUCAUGAGGAACACCGGAGGCGAAGGCGGCACACUGGGGGAUUACUGACGCUGAGGCACGAAAGCUAGGGUAGCGAACGGGAUUAGAUACCCCGGUAGUCCUAGCUGUAAACGAUGAGCACUGGGCGAGAGGCGAUUCGUCGCUUUUUGCCGUAGCGAAAGCAUUAAGUGUCCGCCUGGAGAUGA